CUCAUCCCCAGUCAAGCCAAAAUCUUUUAUUCUGAAUUCAUUUUGAGAAAAAAUAUUAAAGUAUUUUCCCAACAAAAUAGUUCCUCACCAUUCCCUCAGAUAUAUUCACAUAUGGCUGUUGCAAUGGUCUCUAGGUACAAUGAGAUAAAGACUUACAAUAAAGAAUGCCAACUGAAGGAAAUGAACAAGUAACUAACCAGGCAUCGUUGCCCUCCACUGCCCUCCCCCUUGGCAGAUAAUCACUCCUAUUCUCUAUUUUCCUCAUACCUUUCUAUGCUAAGGUGACAAGAUUUGGAGAGACUUACCCUACCACCAAACUCAAGAGAAGACGCUGGAACAAAGCUCUAAACUUACAAAUUGAAGAAAAAAUUUAAAUGCAACACCAUCUUUAAAUUUCUCAUCUUAUUUUCCUUUCUUUUUUUUUUCCCCCUACUUUUUGUGAACAAAUAGCCUUGUUUUAUUUGACUCAGAAAAAGUUGUUUUGCAUUCUAAUACUGGAAAGGCUAUCCCCAGCCAGACAAAACACAUUAGUGUAUUGUAUUCAGCCAGAGGAACGCUUUGCAAGUCUAGACCAUAUGUGCAAAUUCCUUCAUAUUUUUAAAAAUCUUAUCUCUUUCUUCCAGGUUCCUCGAGAACUCUGUAGAAGACCCUGAAUUAAAUUUCAUUAGAAUCGUUAUCUCAUUUAAUGUCCUCAGCAACAAUAUUGUACCAAAGGUUCUAAAAUGCAUUGGUGAUAUGGGAGGUGGAGUAAAAUGGCCAAAUAGAAGCCUGCACCCAUUAUUCUCCCUGCAGAAACACUAAAUCGAACAACUAUCCAUACAUAAAGUAUUUUCAUAAGAAGCAAAAAUCAGCAGUGAAUAAUAUAACUGCCUGACUAGAGAGGAGGUAUCUUAUGGUUACGACAACUGAAGACCCACCACCAAAAUAAGGAAAAAAAGACGAUCUCUAUACAAGAGUUUCAAAUUAAAAUAUACAGCACCACGCCUUGUGAAGAUUCUUUUGGCACCUCCAGCUCUUUGGCUUCCUGGGAGCAAACAUCUCUCUCUCCGUGCCAACUGUACCUUCUAAGACAGGCUGCCUUAAACACUCUCUGCAGGAAGGCAUCGAGUACCCAGAGAAGACAGCUGACUCUGAGUGGUCUCUCUCUAGUUAGCCUUUAGGGAAAUAGUUGGCCUUAAACAUAAAUGCUUUCUUGAAUUUAAAAUUUAAACCAUGAAAUGACUUUCAUUUAUAGCUUUGAGCCACUGAAAUUCCAACAUGAAAAAUUCCAAACAACAUUCUAUUAUGUACGCAUAUACAAUAAGUUCAAAAGGCAUUUC
rnacentral:lncRNA from 13 species